CGGCCCAUCCCAACUUCCACCUAGGCCACAGGCCCAUUAUCGCACCAAUAGUGUUCAGUUGCAGAUAGAUCAUCACGAACUCCAACAAUAUUUAUUCAACGGACGUGCCUGGAGAAGCUCCAAGCGGAUCGAGGUUCUGCUGCAUGGUGCUUAUCGAAUUAGAUGAAAUUCCGGAUAAUUCGGACCGAUGUCCACUCAAAAUUUUGAAUGAAAUUUGAGCAAAUUUGAAGAAAACUUCCCUGGACGAGGAGUGCUCACCUGGCAAAGGAAACUAGAGACACAACAAACACAAAGAACUCUAUGCGCGUGUGCCUGGCAAAGGAAACUAGCUAGAGAUCUGUUGCCACACACCUCUGUAGAUACGCCAAUGUCAGGGCAGGCAUGUGGGAAGCUUAGUCUUGUUUCCUGUCUAAUGUAUAACUGAAUUAAAUCAGUGUGUAUAAUUCCUGUACAUAUUCUUCUGGUGUACCGUACUACUGUGUCAUAUAUAUAAAAGACGUACGUGUGCAAAACAACUUUCUGAAACUGUGUGGUCAUUUUUGGAAAAACAACUGAUCACAGCGUUGCAUAAAACUAACGCCGAUCUAGUUGGUAGUAGACAUUCCUAGCAUGUGAUCGUGCCAUGCUUAUCUUGGACUUAGUGGUUUGUGUGUUACUAUGGUGAAAUCCCCCGUGUCUGCCUUGUUAUCUCUGGCAUGGACAACCUCACCCAGUUGCAAAAACAUAAUUCCUUAUGUCUGCCAUUCCUGGUCUAUCCUAUACCACUUGUGGGUUUGUUAUUGGCUUUCGUCCCUCUUUUGACUUAUCUGUUUGCAGCAACUAAAAUACCUGUAUAUAUAUGCUGUCAUAGUCAAGGGCGUCAUAGUCAUAUUAAAGAUCUGAACGGUGAGUGUUCAACUUUGUUUUAUGAACUAGUGAGGCAGAUUUUGGGGGCUACAUAAUAUUAUUUUUAAUAACACCUGAGCUGAAUAAUAUUAAUAAAAUAUAAUAGAUCUCAUGAAUAUAGUAUCUAUGAUGAUUACAGGCUAUGGACUAUAUUUCUUAUUUCUGUAAGAUUUGCUAGGAUAUCGGUUGAAGUCAGGGUUGAAUCAAGAUGAAGAGAUGUGGGCAGAUUCGCAGACAAGGGAUAUAUAGUUCUGUAUAAACAAUGAAUAUAUAGUGUAGCUUAUAGCAUAUUUUGAUCUAAUAAGCACUCAACUUAUAGAAAAGCUAUUAGCUUGCUUCCUCCUGCCAUUGCAGCUUAUAAAUUGUUUAGCUGACUCAAAUGAGGCCUAUGUUCUGUCAUGAAUUACCUUUGGUUCCCAUGCCACGUCAUGUUACAGGGACUCAAGGAGGAUGUAGAUUUAAUCUAACUCAGCUCCUAUAUCUUAUAUGGCUAAUUUUUCCUCAGCACUACAAUACUCAUAUGGACCUUUGCAGCAUUUGCACAUGUAUAUAACAACACAUGUAAAAUGUUGUUUUGCUGUUGAUAUUUAACACAUUUUUCCUAACAAAUAUCUUUGCUCCAUUUACAAAUCCGGGUACUUCUCUAUGCCUCUGCCACACAGAACAGAUACCAUGCUACUGUGAAGUGCGCACACAUUUUCCGCAAACUAUCACUGAAGAGAACAACAACAAGCUUUUUCUUGCUCCAAAAGUACAAAGGUGAAGUGCGCAGCUUGUUGCUGCACUUCUUUUCACUUUCCAUGCAUACAUUCAUUCAUAUUCUUUAUUUUCCACACAAGUUUAUAUAUUAUUUUUUUAUCAACUAAUGCUACACAAAAAAUAUGAUUUUGCUGAAUCAAGUUAAAUUAUUAAUGUUACGAACCAUAUGGAGAUUUGUGGCUCAAUGCAACACUUUGCAUUAAGUCCAUACCUUUGGAAGCAUUCUGUAUCAUGCAUAAAAAAAACUAGCAUUAUAGCGUAAAGGAGCUGGACCGUACCUUUGUUGACACGUACGCCACAGGAAUCCAUAUAAAUAAUGGUCUACUGUAUUCGAUUGGACUCCCUCAGUUUACAUGUCUUAAUGUUUUCCUAUAUCAAAUAGUAGUUCAUAUAGUUUGGAAACACGAUUACAAAGGCCUUGUUUACUUCCACCCCAAAACCUAAAAUUUUGCAAGAUUCCACGUUACAUCGAAUCUUUAGAUACAUGCAUGGAGUAUUAAAUAUAGACAAAAAUAAAAACUAAUUGCACAGUUUGGUCGAAAUAUACGAGACAAAUUUUUUGAGCCUAGUUAGUCCAUGAUUGAACAAUAAUUACCAUAAACAAAAAAAAAAUGCUACAGUGUCGCGAAAUUUUUCUCUUCCCGAACUAAACACGUCCAAAGUUUAUGCGAGCACACCCUUUUAUCCCAACCGUCUACAGAUGCAUGCAGGAGGAAACUGGAACUACAUGGAGAACAAUGUUUAAUCGAUGGAUCAGUUAAGUUAAAAAUAGACUCCCCAAUUACAUGGAGAUGUAAAUCUAUUCAAAUUUGGCACCUAAAAGGAGGGACCUAGUUAUAAAUUCGUAUUUACUUUAAACUGAAAUCGUACAGAUAAACAUGUCAUGGGUCUUUUGCAAAGGUUUACACCAUUUCAGCUGCACAAAACAUAGGUAAUUGAAAAUAACUAAGACAGUCUUUCAUUCGGAUCAAACUAUAGGGAUGCAGAACGUGACUGUGGUCACCUUCCUAAAUGAGCUGCCUCAGAGAAUUGGCCAGGAGCUUCAGGGCAUGGUGUACCAAAGGAUGCAUGGUUGUUUACCAGUAACACGUAAAAUAAAUGGCAGAAAGUCUUUUCAGUAUCUUACAGAUGACAUGGCGACGUUCUGCCAUGCAUGAGUUCCCUAUGCUUCCCAUGCCCCAUCCUGUUCCAAGGAGGAUUUGGAAGUCCAUCUCAUGCAGUGCUACAACACUCAUAUGGAGCCCUUGGCAGCAUGUAUAUUUAUCAAUAUAUAUGCACUUGUUCCCACUAUAAUGACAAUGUUCUUCAGUAUUGUUGUUGAGAUAUAAUAAAUUGUUCCUCACAAAUAUCGUUGC
rnacentral:lncRNA from 1 species